UGGGGAAUUUUGGACAAUGGGGGAAACCCUGAUCCAGCCAUCCCGCGUGUGCGAUGAAGGCCUUCGGGUUGUAAAGCACUUUUGGCAGGAAAGAAACGUCGCGGGUUAAUACCCCGCGAAACUGACGGUACCUGCAGAAUAAGCACCGGCUAACUACGUGCCAGCAGCCGCGGUAAUACGUAGGGUGCAAGCGUUAAUCGGAAUUACUGGGCGUAAAGCGUGCGCAGGCGGUUCGGAAAGAAAGAUGUGAAAUCCCAGAGCUUAACUUUGGAACUGCAUUUUUAACUACCGGGCUAGAGUGUGUCAGAGGGAGGUGGAAUUCCGCGUGUAGCAGUGAAAUGCGUAGAUAUGCGGAGGAACACCGAUGGCGAAGGCAGCCCCCUGGGAUAACACUGACGCUCAUGCACGAAAGCGUGGGGAGCAAACAGGAUUAGAUACCCUGGUAGUCCACGCCCUAAACGAUGUCAACUAGCUGUUGGGGGCCUUCGGGCCUUGGUAGCGCAGCUAACGCGUGAAGUUGACCGCCUGGGGAGUACGGUCGCAAGAUUAAAACUCAAAUGAAUUGACGGGGUCAUAGCUGUUUCC
rnacentral:rRNA from 1 species